CAGCCGCCGCGGGAAUACAGAGGGUGCGAGCGUUAAUCGGAUUUACUGGGCGUAAAGCGUGCGUAGGCGGCUUUUUAAGUCGGAUGUGAAAUCCCUGAGCUUAACUUAGGAAUUGCAUUCGAUACUGGGAAGCUAGAGUAUGGGAGAGGAUGGUAGAAUUCCAGGUGUAGCGGUGAAAUGCGUAGAGAUCUGGAGGAAUACCGGUGGCGAAGGCGGCCCCCUGGACAAAGACUGACGCUCAGGUGCGAAAGCGUGGGGAGCAAACAGGAUUAGAUACCCGCGUAGUCCCUGUCUCUUAUAC
rnacentral:rRNA from 1 species